GCUCGGCCGGUGUGCGAUCAACUGUCAACUAUGAACUGGUACGGACAAGGGGAAUCUGACUGUCUAAUUAAAACAUAGCAUUGCGAUGGCCAGAAAGUGGUGUUGACGCAAUGUGAUUUCUGACCAGUGCUCUGAAUGUCAAAGUGA
rnacentral:rRNA from 1 species